rfam:Triticum aestivum genome assembly, contig: Triticum_aestivum_CS42_TGACv1_scaffold_158142_2DL
UUCUUACCAUGGGUACCCUGCAAGCACUUCACGAGGCAUUAUUUGAAAUGCCAAUGUGAAGUGUUUGGGGGAACUCUUGGUGGCAC